rnacentral:lncRNA from 1 species
UUUGGAGCUGUAAUUGGUGGGAAGAUUGCUAGAAAAGAGACAAGAACAGGAUUAAAAAAAAUAAAACAAAAUCCCAUUGAUUGAUGUUGAAGAUUAUUGUUGACCAGUCCAGGUUCCACAAAUCUUUUGCAACUUAUCUUAGUGACUAAUGAAUUUCAACUUUGAACUCCAUUGCCGACGGAAUUUAGUGGAUACUGCAGGGAAAACGCAAUUCUCGACGACUUUUUUGGGAGAGAUAUUUCGUCGCUAAAUGUGAAAGUGCUGCCAUAAUGAAGCAAAUUAAAGCAAUUGCACGAGUUUGCUUCGUAAUGGGCACAGCAACAGCCUUAACUUUGCCUUUCAU